rnacentral:tRNA from 1 species
GGGGCAGUAGUUUAAUUAAAACGUUUCAAUUGCAGUGAAUUAAUAUCUCUUAGAAUCUGCCUUU